CUGCUGCGGCUCAGCCCUGUCGGCGGGGGGGCCGCCAUUUCAACGGCCGCGUUGCCGCCCGGUCUGUGUUACACUUUAGCGUAUGUUCUGCUGCAAAGAGUACCAGUCCCCAACAUGCGAUUUGUGAAGAAUUUGUUGACUCCAAAACUUGUGAAACUGUUCAAACUCAAAGCAAACUGAAGUACUGAAACUGAGGCUGAACGUGGGAGUGCUGCCGGAUGUUCCCAAAGUGUGUUACUUAGUGCAUAUUGUGGUCUUCACAGCUGCCAAUGAAGAGGACUGUUGGUGCAAAAAUGCUAAGCUCUCUCCUCGCACUACAUUGCAAAGCAGUAGGCACUGCCAGAAGCUAGUUAGAGCUGAUGCUUGGCCUGUGUGCUUGUGACAAGGAGCAGAGACAGGUAUGUGGGACUUGAUUGCAUGUGGGGCUUUGUUGAAAUGCUACUUGCAAAGAGCAAAUGACACAGCCAUCAUGGG